rnacentral:rRNA from 1 species
GACAGAGGGUGCAAACGUUGUUCGGAAUUACUGGGCUUAAAGAGUUCGUAGGCGGCGCAGAAAGUAGGGUGUGAAAGCCCUCGGCUCAACCGAGGAAUUGCGCCCUAAACUACUGUGCUUGAGGAACCUAGAGGUGAGCGGAACUGAUGGUGGAGCGGUGAAAUGCGUUGAUAUCAUCAGGAACACCGGAGGCGAAGGCGGCUCACUGGGGGUUUUCUGACGCUGAGGAACGAAAGCCAGGGGAGCGAACGGG